CCUACGGGGGGCAGCAGUAGGGAAUAUUGCUCAAUGGGGGAAACCCUGAAGCAGCCACGCCGCGUGGAGGAUGAAGGUUUUCGGAUUGUAAACUCCUUUUUUUAGAGAAGAUAAUGACGGUAUCUAACGAAUAAGCACCGUCUAACGCCGAGCCGGCAGCCGCGGUAAUACGGAGGGUGCAGGAGUUACUCGGAAUCACUGGGCGUAAAGGGCGCGUAGGCGGGAUAGCAAGUCUGAUGUGAAAUCCUAUGGCUUAACCAUAGAACUGCAUUGGAAACUGUUAUUCUAGAGUAUGGGAGAGGUAGGUGGAAUUCUUGGUGUAGGGGUGAAAUGCGUAGAGAUCAAGAGGAAUACUCAUUGCGAAGGCGACCUGCUAGAACAUAACUGACGCUGAGGCUCGAAAGCGUGGGGAGCAAACAGGAUUAGAUACCCUAGUAGUC
rnacentral:rRNA from 1 species